CAAAAUACGCUUCUAAAAUACGCGUGACUGGAGAGAGAAGAAAUCGAAUGGAGAAGACGAAGACGACUGGAGAAGAAGCAAUCGACUAAGAACAAGAUCUGCGAAUAAGAACGACGAAGAAGAAGAGGACGACGACGGCGACGAAGAGAACGAUUGAAGGGCUCGAUUACAGAAGGUUACGGCUUGAUUACAAAAGAUUAGGGCUCGAUUACUGCUCGAUUUGAAGAUCCAAUCCUUACUUUGAAGAAACCAAUCCUUAAAGCUUGGCAUGGCUUCCGCUUCUUCAAAUGCCACAUCUGGAUGACCGAAGAGGCGUUGUGCUUGCGGAUUGUAAUCAUUAUUGGGAUUGCUAGUGUCGUACUCCAAGCAAUCUACCUUGGUGUAUUUAUGCGCAUGUAAUUGUUGAGCAACACUGGGAAUUCAAUGGGACCAGAUUUAUGUAAUUUGUGUACUCCACACUUUCAUUUGUCUUCUUUUGAUGGAAUUUCAGUCCCAUCGACCUUUUGAAGUGGUUUGUAUUGGAUAAUUGAAUUUUCGGAGUUUUCAUUCAAGUGUUAGUUUCGAGUUUA